UUAAUAAUAUUCUUACUAAAAAUAUAAUUAUUUUAGUAUUUGGUCCUUUCGUACUAAAAUACUAUAAUUUUUUAAAGAUAGAAACCAACCUGGCUUACGCCGGUCUGAACUCAGAUCAUGUAAGAAUUUAAAAGUCGAACAGACUUAAAAUUUGAACGGCUACACCCAAAAUUAUAUCUUAAUCCAACAUCGAGGUCGCAAUCUUUUUUAUCGAUAUGAACUCUCCAAAAAAAUUACGCUGUUAUCCCUAAAGUAACUUAAAUUUUUAAUCAUUAUUAAUGGAUCAAUUAUUCANAAAUCAAUGGUGGUAAAAAUUAAAAGUUUUUUNAAUUUUAAUAUCNCCCCAAUAAAAUWUUUUAWUUUAUUAUAAUAAAAAUAAUCUUUAUAAUUAAAAUAAACAAAAUAUAAAGAUUUAUAGGGUCUUCUCGUCUUUUAAAUUUAUUUUAGCUUUUUGACUAAAAAAUAAAAUUGUAUAAAAAAUUUAAAUGAAAC
rnacentral:rRNA from 1 species